rnacentral:rRNA from 1 species
GAUGAACGCUAGCGGCAGGCCUAAUACAUGCAAGUCGGACGGGAUUUGGGAGCUUGCUCCUAAUGAGAGUGGCGCACGGGUGCGUAACACGUAUGUAACCUACCUUAAUCAGGGGGAUAGCCUCUCGAAAGAGAGAUUAACACCGCAUAAUAUAUUUUUAUGGCAUCGUAGAAAUAUCAAAUAUUUAUAGGAUUAAGAUGGGCAUGCGGAACAUUAGCUAGUUGGUAAGGUAACGGCUUACCAAGGCUACGAUGUUUAGGGGAUCUGAGAGGAUGACCCCCCACACUGGUACUGAGACACGGACCAGACUCCUACGGGAGGCAGCAGUAAGGAAUAUUGGUGAAUGGGCGCAAGCCUGAACCAGCCAUGCCGCGUGCAGGAAGACGGCCCUAUGGGUUGUAAACUGCUUUUGUACCGGAAUAAACCCUUUUACGUGUAGAAGGCUGAAUGUACGGUAAGAAUAAGAAUCGGCUAACUCCGUGCCAGCCGCCGCGGUAA